CCAACACAUAUCAGUUACCAGUGCUGUUUGCAGAUGAGGGCUGGUGUGAUCCCUGACGUUGAGGCAGAGGUCGAAGUGCUCUCUCAGAUGGAGGGGGAGGGCGGGCUGGGCCCGAAGGCUUUGGUGGUUGAGGAGCCCGCCGUUUCUUGGUUGAUAUUUGGGGACUCGCAGCAAUAGAGUGGGAGAGCUUUGUUCCAGCAAAUACCAGUUUCUCCAUUUUCUCUGAAAAGCAGAGAAGUGGUGAUGUUGGAGAGAGGGAGAGAGAGUGUGACGACAUCAGCUGUGAUUCUGGUGUUCCUAAAGGCUGGGAGGGAGUGUUGUCAUUCCUUCUUUCGUCGUUAUCGACAGAAACUUCCUUGGGUGUUGAUUCACAAUCCAGCUGUAGCGAGGUCUGUGGGCAGGGCUCAGCCUGAGCUGUGUCUAUGAACAGUAGUUGUUGUGACUGCAGAGUUUUAUCCUUGUCAUCUGAAUGUCCAUCCAGGUGCUGGUGUAAAAUCCUGUGGUCAUUUCCGCUGUUCAGUAGUGUACUGGCACACUCAGCUGAUGGAUGAUGCAUGAAGAAAAAUAUAUUGUCUUUAAGCAACCUAGCACCUAGUUUGUUUGGGUGUAUACCAUCUGUGUUAAAAAGUUGCCUUUGACUCCAGAAGAUAUUGAAAUUGUCAAUGUAAUUCAGUCCUCUCAUGGUGCAGGUUUUUUGCAGCCAUGAAUUUAAACUUAAUAGCCGAGAAAACAUAUUUGUUCUUCGGGCUGGGAGAGGUCCACUGUUGAAAUAUUGAACUUUCAGUCUUGCAAGUGUUUCAAAAAGUUCAUUGAAAUCCCCCUUAAGGAGCUCAGACUGCUCUUUUCGAAUAUCAUUCUUUCCCACAUGUAUGACAAUUCGACUGACAGACUUAUGUUUCAUCAGAAUGUUGCAAAGUUCCUUGUUAACAUCAGAAACCGUUGCCCGAAGAAAACAGUAUGUACGGGUAGCCUUGCUUCCAAAGUUUCUGAUAAUAGAGUCACCCACUAUCAGCGUGCUUGGCUCGGCUGCUGUCUGAGCGGAGCGCCGCUGCCUGUAUGAUAUUGAGCAUCUGUUAGCUCUGUAAGCUACUGGCUGAUGUAAUCUGUGUCCAUUAACAUUUGGGGAUUCUUCACCCAAACUCAUUAGCAAUGUUCCCUCUAAGCUGCGCGCGUGCGCGGCCGCGCAGGCCAGCCAAAGUGGCCGCGCAAUAGAUUUGUCAGACCGCGCACAUUUUUCAGACCGCACAUAAACAUUGAUGCAUUUGCUGUUGUAAAAGAAUUAAGAGAGAGAGAAGGCGAGUGUUCUAGAAGGAGAAGAAACUUUCAACCAAUCGCUGAUCUUGCUACGGUGACAGACACUUUUAUGAGCCAAUGGUAGCAGCGCAUUCAGUUCACACAGUGACGCUGCCAGCACGGACGAGCACAGAGUGAGAGCGAGCCAGAUGAGCAGCUGCACGGGUCGAUCUCAAGAAACUAAAAUAUUUAUUAAGAGGAAAAAGUUCAGAUUCAAAACAGUGAUUUAAAACAAAUUAUUGGAUUCCUGAAGUGAUGCGAUAACUUGGAAAAGCUGUCGCUAGAGUGAGGAGAGAGCAAAAUAGAGAAUUAGAACGGAGGCAGAUGCAGAAUCACAGAGCAUCAAAACACUGCGAAUGAACUUCUUCUUUUAAAUAAGAAGUUAAAAUGUAUGCUUUGGCUGGGUUUUUUUGUGAGAAUUUCGAACAUCUGUAAAGUUCUCCUGCUCCAUCUUGGACACGCGAGACAAUUAAGUGAAGGUGUAUACAAAAAGG